rnacentral:tRNA from 1 species
GUAUCUUAGUUUAAUGGUAAAACCACUUGUUUCACAAGUGAUUGUAGGUUCAAGUCCUAUAAGAUACA